UAUUCGGUGAGCUUCUUUUAGAAAAUAGGCGGAAACGAAAACAAAACUCUUGAAAAACAAUUUUUUGGUAAAAGAAAAAGAAAAAAAAUUGAAAAGAAAAAAAAACCAAAACAUAAAUAGAAACUUAAGGUAAGCAUUUGAUGGAUUAAGAUAGUGAAUGAUUUUAUUUAUUUGGAUUAUUAUGUGUAAAGAUUUUCUUGGUUAGGCAUAUUACUAUUUCUUCUUUCACUUGUGUUUAUGUUGGUGAC
rnacentral:lncRNA from 1 species